AUGAGGUUUUUUUUGGUGUCUAUUCAUCGAAAAACUCUCCACCCUUUGUUAAUUCUGUUUGAGACUUUAGCUUCGGUAAGACUGUUUGCUAGUCAAACGAUUGACAGUUGUGAAAAGACUGUUGAUUAGUGCUUACCGUUAGCAUCUUAUACUCUUGAUAAUUUGUUUGUCUAAUAAACCAAAAAAAUUAAUCA
rnacentral:misc_RNA from 1 species